UCCACAAGGGGCAAAAAUCCUUGUCGUGGCUAAAGUUUCCCUAGCUGUUGGAAGAAGGCGGCUCACAGGGACUCAAACAGUUCCACUUCCUUUGUUAGGAGGCUGAGGACCAGGGCCAAGCUGGGAAAUUAAAGAUUAAGUUCAUUAAGUCAACAGACCCCCAAAGGAGGGCCAGGACUCCCCGCGGGGAACCAGGUGGAAGGAGCAUAAAGCUGUCUCCAGAAAGCAAAGAGGCGGUCCUUGGAGCCAGAGGACGGCUGCCCUUUCCAGCGCCUUGUCCCUCCAUCCGAGUUCCUUUCCAUGUUCAUAUUAGAGGACCAGCCCAGUGCCGACCAGGUAGAGGGGAGACAAUGUUCUCUGACCGGAGGUGCCUGUGAACCUUUGUGGACGCCGAUAGGAAACAUUUGUGCAGAAGCCCUUUUGAGAGAGGAUGGAGCUGGCUUCUCAGUAGACCCUGUGUGUGAGUCUUCAAAUGGAGCUGCCCAAAUGUUUUCUUCCCCAGGGACACUGCCCUCCUUAGAAGGCCUUCUAGAUGAUCCGGGCUGUUUUUUCUCUCAGUUUGUUCUGAGAAAAACAAACCAAAUUCACAUCCCCUAGACCACCCCAUCACCAUGAAGGUUCACUUCCUGUGGAUCCUUAUAGUAAACUGUAAUUGCCUUUCCUGGGAAAGAGCCUCCCCCUCCUCCCAAACUUGGAGGUCCCCAAGUACUGAGGACUUAAAAAGACAUACAGUGGAAUUUUGGGGUGCAUGGGAGAUUCUAGGAUGCAUGGGGGAAAUUCUAGGGCACGUGGAACUGCAGUCUUUCUGAAGACAGACUAGUUUCAAUGCCCAGAUUGUGACCCAGUGGCUCCGAACACAUCUGGAAAGUGCUCAGGUGUACCUUGCCAGUUGCCACCUCCCCCCAACACGUCCUUUGCCCAAGGCAGGAGCAGAAGGAGAGCACCCAAGAGGGUCUGUAGAUGUCCUCUCUGGUGCUGCCACUUUUCUUUUUCUGUUUCUAUCAAGGAAAUGAGAAAGUGAAGAGUUGGGGGUGCCUUUACUAGCAGAUCUCCUGGAGGGUGUUUUUGGGGGGGGGGGAUUUGUUUAUAAGAUAGGGUCAUAUUUUACACAAAAACUCACCUACCUUUCUGUCCCUUCCUGCCCUUUCCCUGCUCCUUUUGAGAAAAAGUAACAUUGUCAUAAUGAUUUGGAUAAAUAGAAUUCUUUUUUAAAUCACCCAGUCAUGGGGAGACAUUCUGAGACGAUCCCAGAUUAGUUAAUAUUGAUGUGAAGACAGGAAGCAAACAAGCACACAGCAACAACAACAACAACAACAACAACAACAACAACAACAACAACAACAGCAAAAGUAGUGUUAGAAAGAUUUUAAAACAGGCAGGGAGAGCUGUAGUCCCAGAGUGAGAGAAUUCUCCAGAGCUAAGGACCAUGUGUGAUUUAUUCAGCUUGGAUUCCCCUCAAUCUUCCUCCCCCUGUUGUCUUCUGAAGGAAAGCUUACAUAGGGUUGUUGAUUUGUUUUAGCUUACCAGGCGCCUGAACUGUAACAGGGGCCCUUGGUUAUUUUUUUUAGAUUCCGUCGGAGACCUUUUGAAUAAAACAUUUUCAGUGUAAUGUGUCUAUUGGUUUGAACAGAACUCGAAGUAAUUCUGAAGCAACAGUUACCAAACUUCUCUGUGUGUUCCCCUCCACUGCUUGUGUGAGGACUUCUCUUUAUUUCCAUACGGAGGCCUUUGUCUUUGAGACUCUUGAAUAGACUGCUUUCAAAAGUUAUCAGAGACCGGUCUGAUAAAUCAGAGGAGAAAUUAGAAACAUCUGAGUUACUUUCUAAGAUGGGCUAAUGAGGAAUUUAGGAUUUGCAUUUACCUUUAAAGACCUAAUGAGCAAGCAAACGGGAGAGAGGGAGAGAGAGAGAGGCCGGACUCGUCCCCAGCCAUCCCAGUGGGAUUUAUCAGAAAACAGAAAGGAAUGUUUGAUACAGAUCCCAAUCUACAGCCUUCUCAGAAUGUGUUCACUUUGUCAGGACAAUUGUGCAGUCGUUUGUCUUUUUCAAUUUAAAAUAUCCCUGGCUUGAAAACUACGCCUGGUGUUCACAGACCAUCCACCUCCACAGAUGGCCUCUUGGUGUAGAACUAAAGGGCUAUUGGUAGUCAGAAAAGAAAAGGAUGUCUUCAAACGGAAGAAAUUACAUUUAUAUUUAAAGGGUUUUUCUUUUUCUUUAUUGCCUAAAAAAAUAAAACAACUUGUCUUCACAUUGUUAUAAAAGGAGGGAAAAUCUUGUUUUGAAAAUUCUAAGUAUGUGGUCCUCAGAAAUGCCACCUUGGAUUUUAAACUGAUGAAAGCUGGAGGUGUAAGGAUGUGUCUUCCAACACAUCAUGUUCUUGAUGGGAAAUAGAUGGAACUUUACUGAGAUGGGGCUCCAUCCAUGCACUCGUCCCAGUAGGGACUGGGGAACCCCAACAUGAAGCAGCAGGCGGAGUCCGGAAAAACCCUGUAAAAUGUUUCUCUGAAAGACCUCAGGACUAGAAGUAUUUCAAUGUCGCCUCACGAUUCUCUUGCAACCUUAUCUAUCUAUUUAGUAAUGAUUUUAAAAGGAACGUUCUACUCAUAAAAAUGUUCUUACACUCUUGUACUUUAUAGCUGAUAUAAAAAUGUAAGAAUGUGUCGUAUUGACUUUUAGGGACAGGUUGCUUAUACUCUGCAUGAAAUAUUAUUUGUUCGGCUUUUUUAAAUUGAAGCAAACUUACAUGGUGCAGAAUUAACUAUUUUCAAGUAUGGGAUCGAGUGGUGCUUAGUGUGUGCACAAAACUGUGCACAUGCUCUUCUUUUUAGUAAGAAUUUCUCUCAUUUUCAGAAUCACACAUAGGUCUUUGCAAGGAAAAAAAAUACUGCUAUUCACUCAACAAACAUUUAGUGCACAGUGUUACAAGUGUGGCACGAAGCUGAGACCUGUUAGGAAUUUAAAAAAUAAAAAUAGACUGUUAAAGUCUCCAGGAAAAAAAAUAAACAAAAUAAAAAAAUUUUUUGAGAGGUAAAACAUGUGCUAAAUAAAGGCAUCAGACAACUUUAGUCGGGGAACAGUUCUUGAUUUUUAUCCGUAAACAUCAUUCAGCUUCAGACUUUUAUCAUCCUGAACCAUCAUGGGAUUGCUAAACAUUUCUCAGCAACAAUAGCAGUAUAAUUAGACUACAAAGGGCUUGGAAUAUUUACUGGGCUAGUUUUCUCAGGGUGAUUUUAUUUCCUCUGAUGCGUUCCAAAGUUUUCAAAACGUGCAGCCUCUGAGUUGAAGUUGGUUCAAACACACUUUCUUUGAUGGCCAUUUACUGUAUUUGGGUAGGUGUGUUAUUUUACUGUGACACUUGUGUGUGUGUGUGUGUGUGUGUGUGUGUGUGUGUGUGUGUGUUUUGGAAAGUUUUAGUUUAUAUGACUAGAAAGGACAGGGAAGCUUCCUUAAAAAGUGCUGAUUGCUUAAUGUGGUUAGAAAAGUUAUUCAGGAUUCUUAAAGGACUUUAAGAUAGAUGGUUACAUAUUAUAUUGAACUAUUAAAGGUACUGGGACUAAGAGUAUACUUAGCUUAGCUUAAAUAGAUUAAGGGGGGCUUAUACUGGGUGUGGUGAUACAUACUAUACUCUUAGCAUUUAAGAAGGGGGUAGAUUCAAGAGGAUCAGGAGCUCAAGGCUGGCUCAGCUACGUGAGACCUCAGGAAACCAAUAGUAAUAUUAACAUUAAGAAAAUAUAAAUUAAAUUUAGUGUAACAGAAAACAUGGUCUAUUGCUAUGUAUUGUCGAUGUGUGCUUUGAUGAUGAAUGGGCGGCGACAGCUGUGGACAGGGAUGAUACAGGGGAAAGUGACAAAGACCUUGCCUCUGUUAGGUUAGUGCCUGCUGCUUUUGAUGGUCACAGUGAAGGGUCUUCUUUGGCCCAGCAUAUAGGGGAAAAAUACUUACCCUCUUUGUCAUGAACUUUGUGCUUUGAGUCAUUUGAAGAGGAAAGAACUUGACUACUGUGAGUUCCAGCCAUGACUCCUGUGCAAGUGCCUAACUCUCUGAACCUCAACUCCCUCCAUCUGGUAGGAACAACUUCCUUCAACUGGGUCUGAGAGGAUCAGUAGUCUUGUGAUGCUGUCCCGCCCUCCAAGCUCAGACAACUGAUAAUUGCUGAGACCAGACAAAGCAAAGCAAACAAACCAAACCAAUACAAAACAAAAACAACAAGGAAACCUCACGACACUCCUGCUUGCUGCACCUUUCAACCAGAGAAGGAACUAUAUGACGUCCUACCAAGGAAGACAAGCUACCUUUGGGUAUGAGUCUUGCAAAGCAUAAAACACCAUAUUACUCCAUCACAGUGUGUAUAACUUCUGGAGAGUUCAUCCUGAAGCCUGCCUGUGGAGGAAGGAAGAUUGGAGAACUACUAUUUUGAAUGGGUCUGUCUAGAAUCCGUAACUCUGAUGUUGAAUACCAUCUGGCUGCCACGAAACACUUACAAAUAUCACCAGAAAAAUUAUUUCAAUUUGCCAUCAGACUGGAACUAUCAAUUUAUACCUGAAAUAUGUCAAAAUGUUGGGUAGUUUCGUAAUGAUAAAACUGAUUAGAACUGCUGUGUUUAAUUAAAAUGUUAAUCCACUGUCA